GUGGGGAAUAUUGCGCAAUGGGCGGAAGCCUGACGCAGCGACGCCGCGUGGGGGAUGACGGCCUUCGGGUUGUAAACCUCUUUCAGCAGGGACGAAGCGGAAGUGACGGUACCUGCAGAAGAAGCACCGGCCAACUACGUGCCAGCAGCCGCGGUAAUACGUAGGGUGCAAGCGUUGUCCGGAAUUAUUGGGCGUAAAGAGCUCGUAGGCGGUUUGUUGCGUCGGCUGUGAAAUCCCGAGGCUCAACCUCGGGUCUGCAGUCGAUACGAGCAAACUAGAGUGUUGCAGGGGAGACUGGAAUUCCUGGUGUAGCGGUGAAAUGCGCAGAUAUCAGGAGGAACACCGGUGGCGAAGGCGGGUCUCUGGGCAACAACUGACGCUGAGGAGCGAAAGCGUGGGGAGCGAACAGGAUUAGAUACCCUGGUAGUCCACGCCGUAAACGUUGGGCGUUAGGUGUGGGGCUCAUUCCACGAGUUCCGUGCCGCAGCUAACGCAUUAAGCGCCCCGCCUGGGGAGUACGGCCGCAAGGC
rnacentral:rRNA from 1 species